CCACCCAUAGCUCAGUGGAUAGAGCGACGGAUUCCGGAUCCGUGUGUCGGAGGUUCGAAUCCUCUUGGGUGGG
rnacentral:tRNA from 1 species